rnacentral:lncRNA from 1 species
UGCACAUUUGUCGGACCUGACCUUCUGCAGUUCAGUAGCAGCAAAAGGUAAUCAUCAGUUGCACUACAGCUGAAGUGGUAUAUAGGAGUAUAUCAACCGGCCGGAUCUACAAACAAGGAAAGAGAUCGUACGUACGUGUAGCUUUCCAGGACCAGGAGUGAUAUCUUUGAUCUUUUGCUGCAUCCUGCAGGUAGCUCAUGUAUGCAGUGAUGAUAAAUGAUCAUUGCUCACCAGGUACAUAGGUAGUUAAAUUUGGGUCAGAAAAUACCACACAGACAAAGAGUUUUUCUUUUACUUUUUUUUUACACAGCGACACAAAGGAUCUAUUAAUUGUGAAAUUUGUAGGGAAGCAAGCAACAGUUGGCUCUUCAGAGUUCAGUUUUAUUCAGAUGACGGCAAAGAGAUUUGUGAGUCAAAACAUGGAAUUCACAAAACACAAAUGAAACAUAUCAGUGUAAUAAACACUUUGGGUCCACUUAUUAUUAGUACAAAAUCGUCAUUUAGUUAAUUUCUUGAAUAUUGAAUUGAAUUCACGCAGUUGUUAAGCCUGCAAUGAAUCAAACAGCUGUAAAAGGCUGGAUAUUUUUGUACCCCCAUCAUCUCACACUCUUCAGGUUGUGGAUAUAUACGGCCGGCUCACAUGCACAGCACAGCAC